CGAAAUCCUCGUCAAAGUAUUGCAGUUACUUCCAGCGGUACCAUGGCCCAUUUACCUCACGUGCCAGCCUUCACUUCAGCCAUCUCUUUGGCACGUUAUGCACUAAGUGGAUAGCUACAAGGCAUAAUUGCAUCGUUACUAUGGCUUGGGCAUAGCUGAACAAUUCCAGUGACCGUGAGAUGUUGACAGUGCUGACGUCACACCAGACAGUUCAAGUUUAUAACGAUGCAUCAUUUUCACGUGUUAAAACACCAUCGUGGUGGUGUGAAGAGACAUUGCAUAAACUACAUGUUCACUGUAAAGUGAUGCCACGCACACACACACACACACACACACACACACUGAUGAAAAAACACUAGAAUAGGCCUUACAUUAUCUUUAAAAUAUAUUGACUCAGAAACAAAUAAGACAACAGCAACAUCAAAGAAUAUUUAUAACUAAGG